rnacentral:rRNA from 1 species
GUGAGGAAUAUUGGACAAUGGGCGCAAGCCUGAUCCAGCCAUGCCGCGUGCAGGAAGACGCAUCUAUGGUGUGUAAACUGCUUUUGUACGGGAAGAAACACUCCCUCGUGAGGGAGCUUGACGGUACCGUAAGAAUAAGGAUCGGCUAACUCCGUGCCAGCAGCCGCGGUAAAACGGAGGAUCCAAGCGUUAUCCGGAAUCAUUGGGUUUAAAGGGUCCGUAGGCGGUUUAAUAAGUCAGUGGUGAAAGCCCAUCGCUCAACGAUGGAACGGCCAUUGAUACUGUUAGACUUGAAUUACAAGGAAGUAACUAGAAUAUGUAGUGUAGCGGUGAAAUGCUUAGAUAUUACAUGGAAUACCAAUUGCGAAGGCAGGUUACUACUUGUGGAUUGACGCUGAUGGACGAAAGCGUGGGGAGCGAACAGGAUUAGAUACCCCAGUAGUCC